CCACAAUGCGCGAAAGCGUGAUGGGGGGAUCCUGAGUGCUUACAUUAAUUGUAAGCUUUUGCCAAGAGCAAAUAUCUUGGAGAAUAAGUGGUGGGAAAGACCGGUGCCAGCAGCCGCGGUAACCCCGGCGCCACAAGUGGCAAUCUUAUAUUGGGCCUAAAGCAUUCGUAGCCGGUUUGAAAAAUCUCUUGUGAAAUUGUUGAACUCAAUACAACAGCAUGCAGGAGACACUUUCAAGCUAGAGACUGGGAGGAGUUAGGGGUAUUUCUGGGGGAGCGGUUAAAUGUGAUAAUCCUAGAAAGACCACCUGUGGCGAAGGCGCCUAACUAGAACAGUUCUGACGGUGAGGGAUGAAAGCUAGGGUAGCGAUCCGG
rnacentral:rRNA from 1 species